GUGCCAGCCGCCGCGGUAAUACAGAGGUCCCAAGCGUUGUUCGGAUUUACUGGGCGUAAAGGGCGCGUAGGUGGCAGGCUAAGUCUAAUGUGAAAGCUCUGAGCUUAACUCAGAAAUGGCAUUAGAUACUAGUCAGCUUGAGGAUUGGAGGGGAGACUGGAAUUCUCGGUGUAGCAGUGAAAUGCGUAGAUAUCGAGAGGAACACCAGUGGCGAAGGCGAGUCUCUGGACAAUACCUGACACUGAGGCGCGAAAGCUAGGGGAGCAAACGGGAUUAGAAACCCCCGUAGUCC
rnacentral:rRNA from 1 species